rnacentral:rRNA from 1 species
ACCGGGAUUGCCUUAGUAACGGCGAGUGAAGCGGCAAAAGCUCAAAUUUGAAAUCUGGUACCUUCGGUGCCCGAGUUGUAAUUUGGAGAGGGCAACUUUGGGGCCGUUCCUUGUCUAUGUUCCUUGGAACAGGACGUCAUAGAGGGUGAGAAUCCCGUGUGGCGAGGAGUGCGGUUCUUUGUAAAGUGCCUUCGAAGAGUCGAGUUGUUUGGGAAUGCAGCUCUAAGUGGGUGGUAAAUUCCAUCUAAAGCUAAAUAUUGGCGAGAGACCGAUAGCGAACAAGUACAGUGAUGGAAAGAUGAAAAGAACUUUGAAAAGAGAGUGAAAAAGUACGUGAAAUUGUUGAAAGGGAAGGGCAUUUGAUCAGACAUGGUGUUUUGUGCCCUCUGCUCCUUGUGGGUAGGGGAAUCUCGCAUUUCACUGGGCCAGCAUCAGUUUUGGUGGCAGGAUAAAUCCAUAGGAAUGUAGCUUGCCUCGGUAAGUAUUAUAGCCUGUGGGAAUACUGCCAGCUGGGACUGAGGACUGCGACGUA